UUUUUCCCUCAAUUGAGAAAACUGAGUUUUCUAAACCCAUAAAUGCUUCUCGAGACUAGAACAAUAUCAUAAAAGGCAAGUAAAUACUUUGGGAACAUAAUAAAACAGUCUAGUGAAGAAUAGAGAGAGAAAUCCCUUCUGUGAGGGAGGAAAUUCCUUGAGUAGGCCUAAUUGACCCUUUUGAGUUGAUUUAUAUACUGAAACCAAAAUACACAGAAUAUGAGGCUCACAUUUGAUUGAAGAAUAGCUAAGACAUUAAAUAAAAAGUGUGUGGAACAAGAAAAAUGUCCAUAAAAGAUAAUUUGAGAUAAAUGAGGCCAAACCCGAGAGACAUGUACAUGGAAGAUAUUUUUGACAUUUUGGCUUUAUUGGGCCAUUAGUGGGACAAAUGGACUUGAAUGAAGCCCAAACCAAAACCAUGUGAUAGUUGCUUCCUUGAUGAACACGUGAAGUAUAAGUUUGCCCAAAAAGAUUAAGAAUUGAGCAAGUUAUGGAGUUUUGAAUUAUGGACAUGGGCCUAACUUUGAGUGUGGUUUGAACCUUUUGGGUGUAGUGGAC
rnacentral:lncRNA from 1 species